rnacentral:rRNA from 1 species
GUCUCCUUUCUCAAAUCAAUGAAACUAAUCUCUCCGUGAAGAAACGGAGAUAAACUUAUAAGACGAGAAGACCCCAUGGAGCUUUAAACCCAGCUACACCCCCGCUAAAUUAUACUUUUUAAUCUUUAGGGCCCUGUAUUACUGGUUUUAGGUUGGGGUGACCACGGAGCACAAAAUAGCCUCCAUAAUGAAUAGACUUUAUCUUUAUCCAUGAACUACAUCUCUAAGAAUUAGAAUUCUAACAUAAAAUGAUCCGAUAUUCGAUCAACGAACCAAGUUACCCUGGGGAUAACAGCGCAAUCCACUUCAAGAGCCCCUAUCGACAAGUGGGUUUACGACCUCGAUGUUGGAUCA